UACGGGGGGGGGCAAGCGUUGUUCGGAAUUACUGGGCGUAAAGGGCUCGUAGGCGCCAACUAAGUCAGACGUGAAAUCCCCAGGCUCAACCUGGGAACUGCGUCUGAUACUGGUUGGCUUGAAUCCGGGAGAGGGAUGCAGAAUUCCAGGUGUAGCGGUGGAAUGCGUAGAGAUCUGCAAGAAUACCCGUGGCGAAGGCGGCCAGCUGGGCCGGUUCUGACGCUGAGGCGCGAAAGCGUGGGGAGCAAACAGG
rnacentral:rRNA from 1 species